GCCAGGUGUGGUGGUGCAUGCCUGUAACCCCAGCAGCUCCGGAGGCGGAGGCAGGAGGAUCGUGAGUUCAAAGCCAGCCUCAGCAAAAGCAAGGCGCUAAGCUACUCAGUGAGACCUUGUCUCUA
rnacentral:sRNA from 1 species